rnacentral:rRNA from 1 species
GACGAACGCUGGCGGCGUGCUUAACACAUGCAAGUCGAACGCUGAAGACCUGGCUUUUGUUGGGUUGGAUGAGUGGCGAACGGGUGAGUAACACGUGAGUAACCUGCCCUCUUCUUUGGGAUAACGCCCGGAAACGGGUGCUAAUACUGGAUAUUCACUGGCCUUCGCAUGGGGGUUGGUGGAAAGGUUUGUUCUGGUGGGGGAUGGGCUCGCGGCCUAUCAGCUUGUUGGUGGGGUGAUGGCCUACCAAGGCUUUGACGGGUAGCCGGCCUGAGAGGGUGACCGGGCACAUUGGGACUGAGAUACGGCCCAGACUCCUACGGGAGGCAGCAGUGGGGAAUAUUGCACAAUGGGCGAAAGCCUGAUGCAGCGACGCCGCGUGAGGGAUGGAGGCCUUCGGGUUGUAAACCUCUUUCGCUCAUGGUCAAGCCGCAACUGUGGGUUGUGGUGAGGGUAGUGGGUAAAGAAGCGCCGGCUAACUACGU